rnacentral:rRNA from 1 species
UGGGGAAUAUUGCACAAUGGGCGGAAGCCUGAUGCAGCGACGCCGCGUGGGGGAUGAAGGCCUUCGGGUUGUAAACUCCUUUCGACAGGGACGAAGCUUUUGUGACGGUACCUGUAUAAGAAGCACCGGCUAACUACGUGCCAGCAGCCGCGGUAAUACGUAGGGUGCGAGCGUUGUCCGGAAUUACUGGGCGUAAAGAGCUCGUAGGUGGUUUGUCGCGUCGUCUGUGAAAUUCCGGGGCUUAACUCCGGGCGUGCAGGCGAUACGGGCUGACUUGAGUGCUGUAGGGGAGACUGGAAUUCCUGGUGUAGCGGAGAAAUGCGCAGAUAUCAGGAGGAACACCGAUGGCGAAGGCAGGUCUCUGGGCAGUAACUGACGCUGAGGAGCGAAAGCAUGGGUAGCGAACAGG